GAUCCUGGCUCAGGAUGAACGCUGGCGGCGUGCCUAACACAUGCAAGUCGAACGGGACUUAUUACGACGGAGAUUUCGGUCAAAGAAGUUUAAGUUAGUGGCGGACGGGUGAGUAACGCGUGGGGAACCUGCCCUGUACUGGGGGAUAACAGUGAGAAAUCACUGCUAAUACCGCAUAAGCGCACAAGCACCGCAUGGUGCAGUGUGAAAAACUCCGGUGGUACAGGAUGGACCCGCGUUGGAUUAGCCGGUUGGCGGGGUAACGGCCCACCAAAGCAACGAUCCAUAGCCGGCCUGAGAGGGUGAACGGCCACAUUGGGACUGAGACACGGCCCAGACUCCUACGGGAGGCAGCAGUGGGGAAUAUUGCACAAUGGGGGGAACCCUGAUGCAGCCGACGCCGCGUGAAGGAAGAAGUAUCUCGGUAUGUAAACUUCUAUCAGCAGGGAAGAUGAUGACGGUACCUGACUAAGAAGCCCCGGCUAACUACGUGCCAGCAGCCGC
rnacentral:rRNA from 1 species